AUCAAAUUUAGAAUGGAUGUGGAACCGCCAUGGCUUUUAUAAUAUUCGUACUGAUUUCCAUGUAACCGGUAACACAGAUCCACAAUGUUUUAAUUUUAUACAUCCGGACAACAGCAAGGUUCCAUUACAGUGUCAAUUACUCCUGCAUUUCUUGAUGUAUAACUUCUAACAUAGGGACCUAAACACCGAUAUAAAUAUAAAAUACGAUCCAG